rnacentral:rRNA from 1 species
AGCCAGACUCCUACGGGAGGCAGCAGUGGGGAAUAUUGCACAAUGGGGGAAACCCUGAUGCAGCGACGUCGCGUGAGUGAUGAAGUAUUUCGGUAUGUAAAGCUCUAUCAGCAGGGAAGAAAAUGACGGUACCUGACUAAGAAGCCCCGGCUAACUACGUGCCAGCAGCCGCGGUAAUACGUAGGGGGCAAGCGUUAUCCGGAUUUACUGGGUGUAAAGGGAGCGUAGACGGCGGUGCAAGCCAGAUGUGAAAGCCCGGGGCUCAACCCCGGGACUGCAUUUGGAACUGUGCUGCUAGAGUGUCGGAGAGGCAGGCGGAAUUCCUAGUGUAGCGGUGAAAUGCGUAGAUAUUAGGAGGAACACCAGUGGCGAAGGCGGCCUGCUGGGCUUUUACUGACGCUGAGGCUCGAAAGUGUGGGGAGCGAACAGGAUUAGAUACCCUGGUAAGA